rnacentral:rRNA from 1 species
UGGGGAAUAUUGGACAAUGGGCGCAAGCCUGAUCCAGCCAUGCCGCGUGAGUGAUGAAGGCCCUAGGUUUGUAAAGCUCUUUCACCGGUGAAGAUAAUGACGGUAACCGGAGAAGAAGCCCCGGCUAACUUCGUGCCAGCAGCCGCGGUAAUACGAAGGGGGCUAGCGUUGUUCGGAUUUACUGGGCGUAAAGCGCACGUAGGCGGACUUUUAAGUCAGGGGUGAAAUCCCGGGGCUCAACCCCGGAACUGCCUUUGAUACUGGAAGUCUUGAGUAUGGUAGAGGUGAGUGGAAUUCCGAGUGUAGAGGUGAAAUUCGUAGAUAUUCGGAGGAACACCAGUGGCGAAGGCGGCUCACUGGACCAUUACUGACGCUGAGGUGCGAAAGCGGGGGGAGCAAACAGG